CCUACGGGAGGCAGCAGUGGGGAAUUUUGGACAAUGGGCGAAAGCCUGAUCCAGCAAUGCCGCGUGAGUGAAGAAGGCCUUCGGGUUGUAAAGCUCUUUUGUCAGGGAAGAAACGGUAUGGGCUAAUAUCCCGUGCUAAUGACGGUACCUGAAGAAUAAGCACCGGCUAACUACGUGCCAGCAGCCGCGGUAAUACGUAGGGUGCAAGCGUUAAUCGGAAUUACUGGGCGUAAAGCGUGCGCAGGCGGUUUUGUAAGUUUGUCGUGAAAUCCCCGGGCUCAACCUGGGAAUGGCGAUGAAGACUGCAAGGCUAGAAUCUGGCAGAGGGGGGUAGAAUUCCACGUGUAGCAGUGAAAUGCGUAGAGAUGUGGAGGAACACCGAUGGCGAAGGCAGCCCCCUGGGUCAAGAUUGACGCUCAUGCACGAAAGCGUGGGGAGCAAACAGGAUUAGAUACCCUGGUAGUCCACGCCCUAAACGAUGUCUACUAGUUGUCGGGUUUUAAUAACUUGGUAACGCAGCUAACGCGUGAAGUAGACCGCCUGGGGAUACGGUCGCAAGNUUAAAACUCAAAGGAUUGNGNGNGAGAGNGCGAGACGACGACGAGGGAGAGG
rnacentral:rRNA from 1 species